AGAGUUUGAUCAUGGCUCAGGACGAACGCUGGCGGCGUGCCUAAUACAUGCAAGUAGAACGCUGAAGAGAGGAGCUUGCUCUUCUUGGAUGAGUUGCGAACGGGUGAGUAACGCGUAGGUAACCUGCCUUGUAGCGGGGGAUAACUAUUGGAAACGAUAGCUAAUACCGCAUAACAAUGGAUGACCCAUGUCAUUUAUUUGAAAGGGGCAAAUGCUCCACUACAAGAUGGACCUGCGUUGUAUUAGCUAGUAGGUGAGGUAACGGCUCACCUAGGCGACGAUACAUAGCCGACCUGAGAGGGUGAUCGGCCACACUGGGACUGAGACACGGCCCAGACUCCUACGGGAGGCAGCAGUAGGGAAUCUUCGGCAAUGGGGGCAACCCUGACCGAGCAACGCCGCGUGAGUGAAGAAGGUUUUCGGAUCGUAAAGCUCUGUUGUAAGUCAAGAACGAGUGUGAGAGUGGAAAGUUCACACUGUGACGGUAGCUUACCAGAAAGGGACGGCUAACUACGUGCCAGCAGCCGCGGUAAUACGUAGGUCCCGAGCGUUGUCCGGAUUUAUUGGGCGUAAAGCGAGCGCAGGCGGUUUGAUAAGUCUGAAGUUAAAGGCUGUGGCUCAACCAUAGUUCGCUUUGGAAACUGUCAAACUUGAGUGCAGAAGGGGAGAGUGGAAUUCCAUGUGUAGCGGUGAAAUGCGUAGAUAUACGGAGGAACACCGGUGGCGAAAGCGGCUCUCUGGUCUGUAACUGACGCUGAGGCUCGAAAGCGUGGGGAGCGAACAGGAUUAGAUACCCUGGUAGUCCACGCCGUAAACGAUGAGUGCUAGGUGUUGGAUCCUUUCCGGGAUUCAGUGCCGCAGCUAACGCAUUAAGCACUCCGCCUGGGGAGUACGACCGCAAGGUUGAGACUCAAAGGAAUUGACGGGGGCCCGCACAAGCGGUGGAGCAUGUGGUUUAAUUCGAAGCAACGCGAAGAACCUUACCAGGUCUUGACAUCCCGAUGCUAUUUCUAGAGAUAGAAAGUUACUUCGGUACAUCGGUGACAGGUGGUGCAUGGUUGUCGUCAGCUCGUGUCGUGAGAUGUUGGGUUAAGUCCCGCAACGAGCGCAACCCCUAUUGUUAGUUGCCAUCAUUCAGUUGGGCACUCUAGCGAGACUGCCGGUAAUAAACCGGAGGAAGGUGGGGAUGACGUCAAAUCAUCAUGCCCCUUAUGACCUGGGCUACACACGUGCUACAAUGGUUGGUACAACGAGUUGCGAGUCGGUGACGGCAAGCUAAUCUCUUAAAGCCAAUCUCAGUUCGGAUUGUAGGCUGCAACUCGCCUACAUGAAGUCGGAAUCGCUAGUAAUCGCGGAUCAGCACGCCGCGGUGAAUACGUUCCCGGGCCUUGUACACACCGCCCGUCACACCACGAGAGUUUGUAACACCCGAAGUCGGUGAGGUAACCUUUUGGAGCCAGCCGCCUAAGGUGGGAUAGAUGAUUGGGGUGAAGUCGUAACAAGGUA
rnacentral:rRNA from 1 species